GUGGGGAAUAUUGGACAAUGGGCGAAAGCCUGAUCCAGCCAUGCCGCGUGUGUGAAGAAGGUCUUCGGAUUGUAAAGCACUUUAAGUUGGGAGGAAGGGCAGUAAGUUAAUACCUUGCUGUUUUGACGUUACCGACAGAAUAAGCACCGGCUAACUUCGUGCCAGCAGCCGCGGUAAUACGAAGGGUGCAAGCGUUAAUCGGAAUUACUGGGCGUAAAGCGCGCGUAGGUGGUUUUGUAAGUUGGAGGUGAAAUCCCCGGGCUCAACCUGGGAACUGCCUCCAAAACUGCAUGACUAGAGUACGGUAGAGGGUAGUGGAAUUUCCUGUGUAGCGGUGAAAUGCGUAGAUAUAGGAAGGAACACCAGUGGCGAAGGCGACUACCUGGACUGAUACUGACACUGAGGUGCGAAGGCGUGGGGAGCAAACAGGAUUAGAUACCCCGGUAGUCC
rnacentral:rRNA from 1 species